GGNUGNGGAGUGCUAUACUGCAGUCGAGCGAUCGACGGGAGCUUGCUCCCUGAGAUUAGCGGCGGACGGGUGAGUAACACGUGGGCAACCUGCCUAUAAGACUGGGAUAACUUCGGGAAACCGGAGCUAAUACCGGAUACGUUCUUUUCUCGCAUGAGAGAAGAUGGAAAGACGGUUUACGCUGUCACUUAUAGAUGGGCCCGCGGCGCAUUAGCUAGUUGGUGAGGUAAUGGCUCACCAAGGCGACGAUGCGUAGCCGACCUGAGAGGGUGAUCGGCCACACUGGGACUGAGACACGGCCCAGACUCCUACGGGAGGCAGCAGUAGGGAAUCUUCCGCAAUGGACGAAAGUCUGACGGAGCAACGCCGCGUGAACGAAGAAGGCCUUCGGGUCGUAAAGUUCUGUUGUUAGGGAAGAACAAGUACCAGAGUAACUGCUGGUACCUUGACGGUACCUAACCAGAAAGCCACGGCUAACUACGUGCCAGCAGCCGCGGUAAUACGUAGGUGGCAAGCGUUGUCCGGAAUUAUUGGGCGUAAAGCGCGCGCAGGUGGUUCCUUAAGUCUGAUGUGAAAGCCCACGGCUCAACCGUGGAGGGUCAUUGGAAACUGGGGAACUUGAGUGCAGAAGAGGAAAGUGGAAUUCCAAGUGUAGCGGUGAAAUGCGUAGAGAUUUGGAGGAACACCAGUGGCGAAGGCGACUUUCUGGUCUGUAACUGACACUGAGGCGCGAAAGCGUGGGGGAGCAAACAGGAUUAGAUACCCUGGUAGUCCACGCCGUAAACGAUGAGUGCUAAGUGUUAGAGGGUUUCCGCCCUUUAGUGCUGCAGCUAGCGCAUUAAGCACUCCGCCUGGGGAGUACGGCGGCAAGGCUGAUACUCAAAGUAAUGAGGGCGGGCCGCACGACCGAGGAGCAUGUGAGUUCAUUCUAAGCAACGAAACUAACCAUACCUGUCUUCACUUCUUCGCUCAAUCUUAGAGAUACUGCUUUCUCUUCACCGAAUGGAGGGACAGGUGUGCAGGGCUCC
rnacentral:rRNA from 1 species